rnacentral:tRNA from 1 species
GCCUUCGUGGUGUAGCGGUCAGCACGCUGGGCGCAUAUUCCAGAAGUCCGGGGUUCGAGUCCCGGUGAAGGCA